rnacentral:rRNA from 1 species
GAUGAACGCUGGCGGCGUGCCUAAUACAUGCAAGUCGAGCGAACGGACGAGACGCUUGCUUCUCUGAUGUUAGCGGCGGACGGGUGAGUCACACGUGGAUAACCUACCUAUAAGACUGGGAUAACUUAGGGCGACCGGAGCUCAUAAUGGAAGAUAUUUUGAACCGCAUGGUUCAAGAGUGAAAGACGGUCUUGCUGUCACUUCUAGAUGGAUCCGCGCUGCAUUAGCUAGUUGGUACGGUAACGGCUUACCAAGGCAACGAUGCAUAGCCGACCUGAGAGGGUGUACGGCCACACUGGAACUGAGACACGGUCCAGACUCCUACGGGAGGCAGCAGUAGGGAAUCGUCCGCAAUGGGCGGAAGCCUGACGGAGCGACGCCGCGUGAGUGAUGAAGGUCUGCGGAUCGUAAAACUCUGUUAGUAGGGAAGAACAUAUGUGUAAGUAACUGUGCACAUCUUGACGGUACCUAAUCAGAAAGCCACGGCUAACUACGUG